CAGAGGGGGAAAACAGCGCCACCUUGUGUGACGAGGUCACCAAACUCACCACAGCCCUGCAGGAGUACCAGGACAUGGUGAAGAGUCAACAGGAGAGUCACAGUCCAGACGGUGUCCUCUCUGACGGGUCAGCUCAGAGACACGCGGCGGGAGCUGAGGGAGAAGGAGAAAGACAAGAAGGAGGCCGAGAGAGCCUGGCAGGAGAGCAGAGAGGACCGAGAGAGAGAGCAGAGGAAGCUGAGGGACAGCCUGGACAAGAGAGACAAACUCAUCGAGCAAAUCCUGCUGGAUGCUGAGGAGCGGGACCAUCUGUUUGGCGAGCUGCAGCAGAAUCUGCAGAACAAACGUGAACCUCUGACCGCCUUCAAACACACGCUGUGAUGGAGGACGACUGCUGUACUGACAACAUGCAAACUAACUGCACAGACGGAAGAUUAUUUUUGCACUUUCUGCAGCACCUUUUUGCCUCUUCGGCAUAUUUAUGGUGGUGUACAUUAAGUCUAUUUAUAUUUUUCAUUUGCAGAUCUGCUUUUAUUUGCUAAUUUUACAUGAUCAUGACUGAGCUCUCUGAAGUGAAUCGGUAAUUUCAGACUUAAGAGAGUCGGACAGUCUGAUUUUUCUUGUGAGGUUUAGCCUCUUAUAGCUGGAUGUUUAGUACUUAAUUUAAAAAUGACCAGAUUAUUGUAUUUAGUUAAUUUUUUGAUGUCAUGGGUCUAAUGGUCAGGCAGUGAUUAGAUUCUGUUUCAUUCAGUGUGAUUGCUGAUACAAACACUUGUGAAAGGUAAGAUUUAGUGGAUCUGAGUAACAUUUAUUAUGCCUUUUGGGCCAGGAGCGGGUACGAUAUGUGAAAUCUGAAUUUAUCAGUUUCUGUUUUAUGAAGCUCUUUGUCUUCAUUUUGUUUGUCUUCUCACUUCAGCGGUACAGAACAGUCAGUUUUUGUUUACAGUGCCAUUUUCGCGCUCGUGGAGGGAAACACUAAGGACCAAAAUAAUAUUUAUAACUGCUUUCAUUUUCUGCAUUUAUGCAUCUUUUUGUUUUUCCAAAGUAUUCUCAAUUAUCUUCAGUGUUUACAUGCUUUAUAUUCUUAUUCUGGGACUUAUUACUGGAGACUUUUUCUUUCUUUUAGCUCAAGAGAAUUAAACACUCUGAUCCAAAUAACAA